rnacentral:rRNA from 1 species
CGGACGGGUCGAGUAACGCGUGAGAAUUUGGCUUCAGGUCGGGGACAACAGUUGGAAACGACUGCUAAUACCGGAUAUGCCGAAAGGUGAAAGGCUUGCUGCCUGAAGAUAAGCUCGCGUCUGAUUAGCUAGUUGGUGGGGUAAGAGCCUACCAAGGCGACGAUCAGUAGCUGGUCUGAGAGGAUGAUCAGCCACACUGGGACUGAGACACGGCCCAGACUCCUACGGGAGGCAGCAGUGGGGAAUUUUCCGCAAUGGGCGAAAGCCUGACGGAGCAAUACCGCGUGAGGGAGGAAGGCUCUUGGGUCGUAAACCUCUUUUCUCAGGGAAGAACACAAUGACGGUACCUGAGGAAUAAGCAUCGGCUAACUCCGUGCCAGCAGCCGCGGUAAUACGGAGGAUGCAAGCGUUAUCCGGAAUGAUUGGGCGUAAAGGGUCUGUAGGUGGUGCUGUAAGUCUGCUGUUAAAGAGCAAGGCUCAACCUUGUAAAAGCAGUGGAAACUACAGGACUAGAGUGCGUUCGGGGCAGAAGGAAUUCCUGGUGU